GUCGGAGUAGAGCAGUCAGGUAGCUCGCGUGGCUCAUAACCACGAGGUCGCAGGUUCGAAUCCUGUCUCCGCAACCA
rnacentral:tRNA from 2 species